rnacentral:misc_RNA from 1 species
UCCUGGUUAACCCAGGCAGUCUCAUUAGAGUUCCCACCAUUACGUGCUGGCAACUAAUGAUAAGGGUUGCGCUCGUUGCUGGACUUAACCAAACACCUCACGGCACGAGCUGACGACAGCCAUGCAGCACCUGUUCACAGGCUCCGAAGAGCUAAGACAUUUCUAUCUUAUUCCUGUGUAUGUCAAGUCUGGGUAAGGUUCUUCGCGUUGCAUCGAAUUAAACCACAUACUCCACUGCUUGUGCGGGUCCCCGUCAAUUCUUUUGAGUUUCACCCUUGCGAGCGUACUCCCCAGGCGGUAUACUUAUCGCGUUUGCUACGGCACAACCAGGGUUGAGUCCGGUUACACCAAGUAUACAUCGUUUACGGCAAGGACUAC